rnacentral:rRNA from 1 species
CCUACGGGCGACAGCAGUGAGGAAUAUUGGUCAAUGGACGAGAGUCUGAACCAGCCAAGUAGCGUGAAGGAUGACUGCCCUAUGGGUUGUAAACUUCUUUUAUAAAGGAAUAAAACGAGCCACGUGUGCCUUUUUGCAUGUACCUUAUGAAUAAGGAUCGGCUAAAUCCGUGCCAGCAGCCGCGGUAAUACGGAGGAUCCGAGCGUUAUCCGGAUUUAUUGGGUUUAAAGGGUGCGUAGAUGGGUUGUUAAGUCAGUUGUGAAAGUUAGGGGCUCAACCGUAAAAUUGCAAUUGAUACUGGGAGUCUGGAGUACAGUAGAGGUAGGCGGAAUUCGUGGUGUAGCGGUGAAAUGCUUAGAUAUCACGAAGAACACCGAUUGCGAAGGCAGCUUACUAAACUGUGACUGACAUUGAUGCACGAAAGUGUGGGUAUCAAACAGGAUUAGAUACCCGAGUAGUC